CANUCUGCCCUUCACUCUGGGACAAGCCCUNNAAACGGGGUCUAAUACCGGAUAACACCUGCCCGGGCAUCUGGGUGGGUUAAAAGCUCCGGCGGUGAAGGAUGAGCCCGCGGCCUAUCAGCUUGUUGGUGAGGUAGUGGCUCACCAAGGCGACGACGGGUAGCCGGCCUGAGAGGGCGACCGGCCACACUGGGACUGAGACACGGCCCAGACUCAUACGGGAGGCAGCAGUGGGGAAUAUUGCACAAUGGGCGAAAGCCUGAUGCAGCGACGCCGCGUGAGGGAUGACGGCCUUCGGGUUGUAAACCUCUUUCAGCAGGGAAGAAGCGAAAGUGACGGUACCUGCAGAAGAAGCGCCGGCUAACUACGUGCCAGCAGCCGCGGUAAUACGUAGGGCGCAAGCGUUGUCCGGAAUUAUUGGGCGUAAAGAGCUCGUAGGCGGCUUGUCACGUCGGGUGUGAAAGCCCGGGGCUUAACCCCGGGUCUGCAUUCGAUACGGGCUAGCUAGAGUGUGGUAGGGGAGAUCGGAAUUCCUGGUGUAGCGGUGAAAUGCGCAGAUAUCAGGAGGAACACCGGUGGCGAAGGCGGAUCUCUGGGCCAUUACUGACGCUGAGGAGCGAAAGCGUGGGGAGCGAACAGGAUUAGAUACCCUGGUAGUCCACGCCGUAANCGGUGGGAACUAGGUGUUGGCGACAUUCCACGUCGUCGGUGCCGCAGCUAACGCAUUAAGUUCCCCGCCUGGGGAGUACGGCCGCAAGGCUAAANCUCAANGGAAUUGACGGGGGCCCGCACAAGCAGCGGAGCAUGUGGCUUAAUUCGACGCAACGCGAANNAACCUUACCAAGGCUUGACAUACACCGGAAAACGGCCAGAGAUGGUCGCCCCCCUUGUGGUCGGUGUACAGGUGGGNNCAUGGC
rnacentral:rRNA from 1 species